rnacentral:lncRNA from 1 species
AGGGGUGUGAGUGUGGUGGAAUAAAGCACACUGGAGUGAAAGGGGGAGGGGUGAUACACACACACACACUCACUCACACACACACACACACUCACAUCAUCAGGGGUGAUACACUCACAUCACUUCAGCUUCACUGCUCACUCCUCACCGCUCACUCCAACACUCCAUCACCGCUCACUCCAACACUCCAUCACCGCUCACUCCAUCACCGCUCACUCCAACACUGCUCACUCCAACACUCCAACACUCCAUCACCGCUCACUCCAACACUCCUCACUCCAACACUCCAUCACCGCUCACUCCAACACUCCAACACCGCUCACUCCAACACUCCAUCACUCCAACACUCCAACACUCCAUCACUCCAACACUCCAUCACUCCAACACUCCAACACUCCAACCCUGCUCACUCCAACACUCCAUCACCGCUCACUCCAACACUCCAACACUCCAUCACUCCAACACCGCUCACUCCAACACUCCAUCACUGCUCACUCCAACACUCCAUCACCGCUCACUCCAACACUCCAUCACCGCUCACUCCAUCACUCCAUCACUCCAUCACCACUCACUCCAUCACUCCAACCCAGCUCACUCCAACACUCCAUCACUCCAUCACUCCAACACUCCAUCACCGCUCACUCCAACACUCCUCACUCCAACACUCCAACACUCCAUCACCGCUCACUCCAACACUCCAACACCGCUCACUCCAACACUCCAACACUCCAACACUCCAUCACUCCAUCACUUCAUCCAUCACUCCAACCCAGCUCACUCCAACACUCCAUCACCGCUCACUUCAACACUAUCACUCCAACACUACUCACUCCAACACUCCAUCACUCCAUCACCGCUCACUGCUCAGUCCAACACUCCAACACUCCAACACUCCAUCACUCCAACACUCCAACACUCUAACACCCCAACACUCCUCACUCCAACACCGCUCACUCCAACACUCCAACACUCCAUCACCGCUCACUCCAUCACUCCAUCACCGCUCACUCCAACAGAGACAAGA